rnacentral:rRNA from 1 species
AUUGAACGCUGGCGGCAUGCUUUACACAUGCAAGUCGAACGGCAGCAUGGGUGCUUGCACCUGAUGGCGAGUGGCGAACGGGUGAGUAAUGUAUCGGAACAUGUCCGGAAGUGGGGGAUAACGUAGCGAAAGUUACGCUAAUACCGCAUAUGCCCUGAGGGGGAAAGGUGGGGAUCGCAAGACCUAUCGCUUUCGGAGUGGCCGAUAUCAGAUUAGCUUGUUGGUGAGGUAAAGGCUCACCAAGGCGACGAUCUGUAGCUGGUCUGAGAGGACGACCAGCCACACUGGGACUGAGACACGGCCCAGACUCCUACGGGAGGCAGCAGUGGGGAAUGUUGGACAAUGGGGGCAACCCUGAUCCAGCCAGGCCGCGUGAGUGAAGAAGGCCUUCGGGUUGUAAAGCUCUUUCAGAUGGAAAGAAAUCGCUAUUCCUAAUACGAGUGGUGGAUGACGGUACCGUCAGAAGAAGCACCGGCUAACUACGUGCCAGCAGCCGCAGUAACAC